rnacentral:rRNA from 1 species
UAAGACGUAGGGCGCGAGCGUUGUCCGGAUUUAUUGGGCGUAAAGAGCUCGUAGGCGGCUUGUCGCGUCGUCUGUGAAAACCCGCGGCUCAACUGCGGGCUGGCAGUCGAUACGGGCAGGCUGGAGUUCGGUAGGGGAGACUGGAAUUCCUGGUGUAGCGGUGAAAUGCGCAGAUAUCAGGAGGAACACCGGUGGCGAAGGCGGGUCUCUGGGCCGAUACUGACGCUGAGGAGCGAAAGCGUGGGGAGCGAACAGGA